rnacentral:lncRNA from 1 species
AAUAUCAUGAAUUUUCUCUUUCUCCGCUUGUGUUUGCCAGUAGUGUAGACAGAUGGAUAUAUUCAUGUCCUCUCUUCAGACACGUGGUGCUCAGAAAGGAUGCAGGAAUUGCUUCAUCCAGCGCUCUCUUCUGAGCUCUGUGCUACCAGACCCCCUAGCUGACUUUUGCCUUAUUCUCAUGACAUAUUGGGGCCUCAUGCUCCAGUGUUAUCUUGAGCUUUACGAACCUGCUUCAGUCUUCAACUUGAAGGAAAAAAGAAGCAAAGAAGGUGCUAAAAACAUCACCAUGAUUGUAAUCCUGCCUUCCUCACCUUUUUUUGGACAUCCUUGGAGCAAGGACACACUGGGUCUCCUUCAGAGUUGCUGGAAUUAUUACAGCUGAUUUUGCCUCAGGCUUGGUUCACUGGGGAGCUGAUACCUGGGGUUCCGUUGAUAUCCCUGUCAUUGGCAAGGUAAGGAGAGGUUGACUUGCAUUCGCUAUGAGCAGCAGACUAGAAAUAAAUCAUUUUAAUAUGUUUUCUGAAGAUAAAAA